GAUUUGAAGAUCAAGAAGAGAAUUGGGGAUGGACAUGAGGCUAGAGGAUUAUAUCUGUUGGAUGUAGACCGGUUAUUUUCUACUCAUGUGGCUGAGUAUGGGUUGAACAAUCCGAAUUAUAUGCAUCAUUAGCAUGCCCAAUUAGCAUACAUUUCGUGGUUUGUUUAUCGGAACCUCGUAUUUACGCCGGAAAGGGGUGGUUAUGGGCCAGGUUAUGUUCAAAAUUCUUUUUUAGCAGCCUUAUGAUUCACCUCGACAGAUUUUCAUGUCUUUUGGAAAGCCAGAAAGUGUUCCUUCUACUGGAAAAUUCUCAAACAUGCUAAAGUUCAUUGUUAAGGAGUUGGCAUUCUUCUUACGGGAACUUAUCUGUUGGUCAGAAAUACACAAGUGGACCCCAAAUUCCAUUUGUGAUCAGGAUCAUUGUUUAGUGGGCCACCACAUUCUGAGUUGUAUAUCACAAAUGAACCAAAUAUGAGAACUUUGCUUAAAUUUAUCAACGGUAUGUCAACCUUCACCCAAAAUUCAAUCAUGUGCAAUUUUUGUAAUGUGAUUCUUUUGCAGGUUCUUCUACUUCAACAUCUGUAGUUGUCUCCACUGAAGGUGCAGCAAAAAUCAGUUUUUCUGGUUCUGUUGCCACUACAGUUGAAGUUCUUGUUUUUAUUUCUUUUUAAAGGCACCCUUGGAUCUAUACUGACGUUGCUUACUCUCGCAAGCAUGCUUCCAACCAUCACAAGAAAUUAGAGGUAUCUUUAUUUCAUGCCUUUGGGCACAUGAUUGAAUUAGAGGUAUCUUUGUUUCAUGCCUUUCGGCACAUGAUUGAAUUAGAGGUAUCUUUGUUUCAUGCCUUUGCAAUUUGAGUUCUUUGCCUUAUCAGGUUGUCUUUAAUUUUAUUUUAUUAUUUUUUUAUGCAUGACUUAGUUUCUG